GUGAGGAAUAUUGCGCAAUGGAGGCAACUCUGACGCAGCCAUGCCGCGUGCAGGAAGAAGGCGCUACGCGUUGUAAACUGCUUUUAACCGGGAAGAAACCCCAGGACGUGUCCUGGGUUGACGGUACCGGAGGAAUAAGCACCGGCUAACUUCGUGCCAGCAGCCGCGGUAAUACGAAGGGUGCAAGCGUUAUCCGGAUUCAUUGGGUUUAAAGGGUGCGUAGGCGGAGCGUUAAGUCAGUGGUGAAAUCCUGCAGCUUAACUGUGGACUUGCCAUUGAUACUGGCGCUCUUGAGUGCGCUUGAAGUGGGCGGAAUGUGCCGUGUAGCGGUGAAAUGCUUAGAUAUGGCACAGAACACCAAUUGCGAAGGCAGCUCACUAAGGCGAUACUGACGCUGAGGCACGAAAGCGUGGGGAUCGAACAGGAUUAGAAACCCCUGUAGUCC
rnacentral:rRNA from 1 species